CAGCAGCCGCGGGAAUACGUAGGGUGCGAGCGUUGUCCGGAGUUACUGGGCGUAAAGGGCUCGUAGGUGGUUUGUCGCGUCGUCUGUGAAAUUCUGGGGCUUAACUCCGGGCGUGCAGGCGAUACGGGCAUAACUUGAGUGCUGUAGGGGUAACUGGAAUUCCUGGUGUAGCGGUGAAAUGCGCAGAUAUCAGGAGGAACACCGAUGGCGAAGGCAGGUUACUGGGCAGUUACUGACGCUGAGGAGUGAAAGCAUGGGUAGCGAACAGGAUUAGAUACCCCAGUAGUCCCUGUCUCUUAUA
rnacentral:rRNA from 1 species